rnacentral:lncRNA from 1 species
AAUGGACGUUUCCUCUGAAUUCAGAAUCCAGCUUCAACAAACAAGCAAGUAAGCAACUGAAUUGCAUGCGAAAGUGAAGGACGAAACGGAAAAGGGCGAGUUUUCGUGCAAGUGCACGCCGGCGCCGCCCGCACGCGGCGAGAACCGCAACCACGUCGCCCUCGCCUUCCGCCUAGUCUCCCUCUCGUCCUCUCGUUGCCGUUCCCGCGCCCGUACGUGCAUCGUACGUCCCUUUCAACUGCACGUUUCCUCCCCCUUAAUCCCAGCUCCACUAGCUGCAGUGCUGCACCCAUCGCCAUGCCCGCCACUCACUCUCGGUCAAUGCGCGGGCUUGCUGUGGCGCCAUUGUCACAUAGCUAGGCUGCUAGCUGCUGCUUCUUUCUUGGAGGGCAGAGCGUGCAGGCGCGAGGGGUUUAAAUGGCGGGGGUGCAGAGCGUGCAGGCGCUGGCGGCGAC